CCCUUAGAUGUUCUGGGCCGCACGCGUGCUACACUGAGUGGAUCAGCGGGUCAGGUUGCGCCAAAGUGUUUCCUAAUCUUUAAAUCCGCUCGUGAUGGGGAUUGACGGUUGCAAUUUUCCGUCAUGAACGAGGAAUACCUUGUAAGCGCGGGUCAUCAUCCCGCGCUGAAUACGUCCCUGCCCUUUGUACACACCGCCCGUCGCUCCUACCGAUUGAGUGGUCCGGUGAGGCUUUGGGAUCUGAGCGGAAAGAGCGUUUCGCUGUUUCUGCCCGGAAAACUCAGUCGAACCUUAUCAUUUAGAGGAAGGAGAAGUCGUAACA
rnacentral:rRNA from 1 species